GACGAACGCUGGCGGCGUGCCUAAUACAUGCAAGUAGAACGCACAGUUUAUACCGUAGCUUGCUACACCAUAGACUGUGAGUUGCGAACGGGUGAGUAACGCGUAGGUAACCUGCCUGGUAGCGGGGGAUAACUAUUGGAAACGAUAGCUAAUACCGCAUAAUAUUGAUUAUUGCAUGAUAAUUGAUUGAAAGAUGCUAUUGCAUCACUACCAGAUGGACCUGCGUUGUAUUAGCUAGUAGGUGAGGUAACGGCUCACCUAGGCGACGAUACAUAGCCGACCUGAGAGGGUGAUCGGCCACACUGGGACGGAGACACGGCCCAGACUCCUACGGGAGGCAGCAGUAGGGAAUCUUCGGCAAUGGACGAAAGUCUGACCGAGCAACGCCGCGUGAGUGAAGAAGGGUUUCGGAUCGUAAAGCUCUGUUGUAAGAGAAGAACGGGUGUGAGAGUGGAAAGUUCACACUGUGACGGUAUCUUACCAGAAAGGGACGGCUAACUACGUG
rnacentral:rRNA from 1 species